GAGAUAGCGACUGGAAACGCCGCCCGGUGCGUCGAUAGCUCCGCUAAACGUCGGAGACGGCUCUUGUGCCGAAAAGACACACAUUUACACUCUCUUUUGGAUCACGGCCAAAACUGACUCCAAAAGAGACGGCUUCUUUUACACCCUGAAGGGCUAAAGAGCGCGUGUUAAACACUCACAGCAGCAACCUUCACCGGCCGCGGUUCGUGUGUCUUACAAAGUCUUCGCUGUCUUACGGGAUGGCGUGGUAGAUUGCUUUAAGGAGAAAUGUGGCGAUGCUGACUGAGGACUAUUGUCUUAGUUGCAAUUGAUGCCACAUUAAACUACUGUUAUCCAUCAAUAUGGUACUUACUCUACAAUACAUUGACAAUUAUAUGCCUACCCCUCG
rnacentral:misc_RNA from 1 species